UUGAUCCAAGGAGAGACACUUUGUGUAACGCCCCAAUAGUUCUACAUCGGAUUAAAAAAUAAUUCUGAUUGAAAUAUAUAAGGCCUUCGUACUAGUAAUAAUAACUUGACUUAAGUAUUUUCAUUUCUCAAUUUGUUUAAAUGUAACAAAUUAUUAUUGGUAGUGGGUCGGGACGUUAUAAUAAAAAAAAAAUUAGAUUUAGAUCUUCUGUGUCCUAGAAAUGCUUAAACCUAGUGGAACUAUUGAGGCGUUACACUUUGAACUGGUCAUGCUUGGGCCGUGUAUGCUCUAAAAUUUGGGUUUUCUAGAAUUAUCUGAUUUGCCUGUGCGACUUUAGUCUCAAGUGGAUUCAACAUUGAAAAUAACACUUAUUGCACACUAAACAAAAUAAAUAGGCCCCUAAUGAAAACAAAAAAAUAAAAUAAAAUAAAAUUACUGGUGCUACUUCAAACAGUUUUUUUUUUUUUGGCAAAAUUUUUUAUCCAAAUCAAAUCUUGAACCUUUUUAUAUUCUAGAUAUUUACCAUAAGUGGCUGUCCAUCCUUAAAUUCAGACUCAAUAACUCAUUCCUAACCUAAUCUCCAAAUUUUCACAUGAUAAUAGUAUUGCUAGCAUAAUAGAGAGAAAUCAAGGUGCUUUUCAAGUUGAAACUUAGUCCAGCUCCUUAAUGUGUUGGUGCUUUUUCUAUAUUCCAAAGAUCUUUAUCUUUUUCUUUUCCUUUUUCUUUUUCUCUUUUUUUCUUUUGUUUCCUCUUAAAAGGUGUUCAAAAGAUCCUCACUAAAGCCUUGUGUACAUAUGGAGAGAGAGUUUAGGGCCACCAAUAAGGAAAAUAACCAAUUUACUUGCUUGGUAGGGAGAUAUUAUUUUGCCUGAUGUGGACUGUGUGGUGUUUCUCUUGAAUCCAUCUGACAUUCCAUCCACCCCACCAAGAGUCACCUUGUGGGAACUAUUUAUGGUAACCAUAUGGAAGCUCCAUAUGAACCACAAUCUUAAAACUUCCAAACAUAUAUAAAUAUAAAAUUAAAAAAAAAAAGAGGGGGGGUCUCAUUAUUGUUGGGGGGCCAUGUGGGGAUGAGGAGAAAGCUACCUGAGCCUGUUACUUGUGUGGAAUUUAAUGAUCACAGGUUGCAUGUGAAUGCUUUUCAAAUUUUGCACUGUCCACAUUGGCACAGGAGAGUAGAUUAAGUUCUUAGCCAUUUCGAGCCUCUUGCACAGAUUUUUUUUUUUUUUUUUUUUAAUCAACUGUGCUAGUAAGUCCAAUCAAAAUAGUAUAUAUAAAUAACUAUGAAAAUGAGAUGCACUAUCAACCAACUAUUAUGAAUCUUAUGAAAGUUUACUUAGGAAGAAGUAAACAUUGUUUUCAAGCCAAUAAACUGAAACAAAAUUAUAUUUUAAUUUUGUCAUAAAAGGUUUUUUCUUAUAAAUUUUUUGGGGUCCCUCUAUAUCUAUUCGUUCGAGAUUGAGCACUUACGGAAUGACAAUUUCGAGCUCGCGGGUGGGUUUAGUUUUUGGUUAGCGAGGGUUCGGGUCCGGUCAAUUUUGGUCUAUUUUGGGUCUAAAAGUGCCCCCACCUGGUCCUUCUCAUCUGAGGACUCAAAUUUGAUUUACUAUCCCAACAAAAAGAGUCAAUGCAUAGAGAGCCAUUGAUUCAUGUGCAUGCUAUAUAUUAAUUUAAUUAAUAUUAUGUCACGGUAUCUUAACACAUCCCAUUGUCAAACCAGCCCUAUUGGCAAUAGUUUUAAUAGUUGGCCGUUGCUUUCACGUCUAAUCAUUAAUGACCAGUGUACUAAUCUGCAGGAUACGACGGAUAUAUAAAUAAUAAAUAAAAAAUAAAAAAUAUUAAAGAGGAAGAAAAAAAUUAAAAAAUAAAUAUUCAAGUGUAUUUUUUUAAUAAAAUAUAUGAAUUAAACUAACUAAUAUGACCAUUCAAAAUAGAUAACUAUCCAGAAUCACCACUAAAAAAAAAAAAAUGCAAAGGUCGUAUGAAGAUGGAGAUGAUAAUGUUGCUAUGAUGACGACAAUGGCGAUGAAAACCUUAUAAAAGUUUGUAGAAUUUUGCGCUCUUUUUGGCGGAUGGUCAGAAGUUGCGGGUCAGAACUGCCAUAUCAACUAUGAAAUCAAAACUAACCUAUAAAUUAAUCAAAAUAGCAUAUAAAUCAAAUUUUUUUAUUGAUACAACCACCAUAUCAAAAAUAAUACAAAAAAAAUAAAUCCUAAAAGGAUAUAUAGUAAGAAUUCGCGAUUAAAAUAAAGAAAAGAAAAAUUAUGUUUAGAGUUUUGGUUUUCCAAACCUACCCCUCGAUCCGUAUAUUAUCGCUAUCCAAUUAACUUCCUUUACCGAAAAAACCAUUUGAUUACAUUUUUUUUUUCAUAACUCCGAAAAAAUUAAAAUAAAUAGAAACCUUAGUAGCACUCUUUUGAUCGAGGAGGGUCGGGUCAAAUCAGGUUGGCACGAAUUAGGACUUGGAGUACUCCCUUACUCUUUCUCAAUCUCUAGAUCUGAAAGUAGUAACUAUUCAUCUUCUCUUUUUAAAAUUUUGUGGGUUAGAAAUUAUUUGAGCGAAAAAAAAGCACUAAUAUUAAAGAGAAAAAAAUAAAAAACGUAUAAAUUAAAGAGCACAUUGAUUACAGAUCAUUGAAUAAAAAGGAGGGGAGGGGAAAAGUCAAGAGCACAAAUCAGUUCAAAAGAAAGACUAGUGAGAAUGAAAAAAAAAUUUGCCACAUAGCAAAAAUAUUAAAAAUUCAUAUAGGUUAAUAGAUUAUACUAGUGUAGAAACCCGCGCGAUGCAGCAGGUAGAUAAUGAAAUUCAAAAUUCAAAAUUUUAAAAAAUAAGAUUAUAGUUAGAAUUCUAAAUACUAAUUUUUCUAAAUUAUAAAAUUUUGAAUGAAAGUUAUAUGGCUCCAAAACAGCACUAUUCUUCAAUAAAUGUGGUUAGAAACUUUAGAAUUUUAUCAAAUUCUAAAAUUCAUAGUAUAUAGUCCAUACUAUAAAGUUCAAAAUAAAAUAAGUCUAUUAUACAUAUCCUUAAAAUAUUAUAGAAAUUAGAUCUUGUGAUAGUUUUGCUGGAAAAAUAUUUACUUCUCUUCUUCAUCGAAAUCAGAAAAUUGAAUUAAACUGCAAAUAAGAGUACACAUUCAAGUUAUUUUCUAUUUAUAUCAAAUAAAAUAUAAACUAUGCAUUGAAUGUUUUAAGACAAUAUUUUAAAACUUCUUAUGAACAACAUAUUUGUAUUUUAUUUCUUAGAUCUUAUUUAUCAGGUUAAGAUUUUGGGAAGGUGGCAUGAUAUAUGUUGUUUGAUAUAUAUAAUAAAGUUUUAGAUGAAAAAGAUCUGAUAAAAUUAGAUAGAAAAGGUUAAGAAUUCAACAAAAAACUCAAUUUAUAUUCAGAGAUGAUCAUGCACAGUUUAAUUUAGAGUGCAAUUUGUUAAAAUUAGAUCAUUAGUUAAGCUUUAAUUUGUCUAUUAAGUUAUAUUUUGUUAUAAGUUGGAUUUGGAUGAGGCUAAAUAAUUUAAGUUGAUUUGUGGAUAGAAAUAGCAUAAAAAAUAAAAAGAAGGUUGUAGAUGUAGAUAAAUCAUUAGCAACAACAGCACUAUAAUAUGGCAAAAUUAAAAUAAUCAUAAAUUUCAAACAAAUAAUUAAUAUGACAACAUGUAAUUAUUUCCAUAAAUCGGCUACACCUAGGAACCUGCACAUCAACAAAAGAACAGAGUUGUUCGUCUGCGACCAUAGUAAUUCCAUAUCUGGGAGGAGGUAACGAAAAUUGUGCGCAGAUUUUGCAAAGUAAACAGCGAAAGUUGAUGUCGAUAUUAACAGUUGAUGUUAUUUGCUGUCGAAAAAUACACACAGGGCUUUUGUUUUACUUUUAACACGUGAUUUACUUUAAACACAUAUUCUAUUAAAUAAUAAAGGCAAAGAAAAAUAUUUAAAAAUAAUAAAUUCUAACUAAAGUAAAACCAUAAAUACAAAAUUACAAAAACAAANAAGUAGGGAUGAGCCGGUUCAAUAAAAAAUCGGUUUCGACAUAAAAUAUAUAACAAAACUAUGUUGAUUUAGUUCAAAAAAAUAAAUAGAAAGAAGAAGAGGUUCAAAAUAGAAUAAUUGAAAGAAGAGAAAAAAAAAUCGAAUUCAAAGAAUAUACAUAACAAAAUAGACAAGUUCGGAUUAAAAAAAUUUAAAAAAAAUAAAAUAUGUAAAAAAAAACUUGUUGGUUUGGUUCAAAGAAGAAUAUAAUUGAAAGAAAAGAAAAAAAAUUAGAAAAAUACUAAACUAAGGAAAAAGUGCCACGUCAUUUUACACAUUGGGGAUUAAUAAUAACUCAUACCAGGUUCACAUAUGACCCAACCAUACUAAGCCCAUUUGACCCUAACACAUACACACAUAUAUAGGUAUGACUCACAUCAAAGUGACUAACACAAAUCAUGCAAACCUACGUGCAUGGGCCACCACUUUAACAGUUAAAAACACCAGACACCAUUUCUCGAUUCUAGUGGGAUGCUGGCCCUGGAGAGAUAGACGGCGAGGCCGGCGGCGACGUCGGCGUCGGCGUCGGCGUCGACGGGUCGAAGGAAUCGUUUGUUGGAUCGCAGUAGCCGCGCAGUAUGUCUCCUUCUUGAGCCGUGAAGCCAAGGGACGCCAGCAAAACGUCGGUGGCCCAGCAGUGAUGCUCGAUGACGCGAAUGGCCCGGCAGCAGCUCGGGCCCAGGUACGUUUCGCCGUUGAGGAAGAAGAGGAUCACCUCCCCUGUGCACGACUGGAGCUCCACCAGCGAGUCCCAGCACUGCUUCAUGCCGUUCGACUGUAGGCGGGCCGAAAGGCCGAUCGGGCCGACGGGCCGAGCCUCCGACGACGUCGGAGCGGGCAUGGUUGCGAGGGAGGAUGCUACGAGGAAAAUGAAAAUAGAUUGUUUGAAGAGAGAAGCCAUGAGAAACUUCAGUAGAGACACUUGUGAGUGAUCAUAUGAAUAGAUAGAUGUUCAUGAAAAUAUUCAUAUUUAUAGAGGUGAAAUCGAUCAAUAAAUAUGAAUAGGAAAAUAAAAAGUGAAAGGCCAUGCAUGCAUAUAUACGUUUUAAGGAAUGUAAGGUCUCUUAGAUUGAGGUGUAAUAAUAAUUAAUCAAUUAAUGGUAGUGGGAGAAACAAAAUUAAGGGAUUUGUAACAUCUUAAUUAAUUAUUAAGGAAUGUGGAGGGUUUUUAAUUAGCUAUUGAAAAAUUUUGGGUCAUAUGUGGACUCGAGCCCAAUUAAGAUUUAGAUAGAGCCAGGUUAAUUUUGUUGAUUGGUUGUUGGAUUUGGGUCAAAUUAAAACUAGCAAUAAGCCCUAACCUAGUGUUUGACUCCUGAAAAAGCGUGAAAAAUUAUUUUUAAAAAAUUUAUUUGUUUAUUUUUUCAUGAAAAACACAUUUCUCCAUAAUUUUUUAUUUCUCUGAUAAAAAAUUUAGAAAAGUAAAGUACUAUUUUUUAUGAAAUCUGAAACGAAUGAAAAUUAUUUUUUCAGUUAGAAAACUAUUUUCACAAAUAAUUUAUAGAAAAAAACUAAACACCUCCUAAGAGAUUUAGUAUUAUUUAUGAGGUACAUAUAUAUAUGAAUAGUUAGAUUAAUGGAGAAUAACUUGAGAAGUAGAAGAACCAUUAGAAACGGUAACAUUAUUCUUUGUCACAAUUAUUACAUUAAGGAUUAUUAACAUAUNAUAUGAAUAGUUAGAUUAAUGGAGAAUAACUUGAGAAGUAGAAGAACCAUUAGAAACGGUAACAUUAUUCUUUGUCACAAUUAUUACAUUAAGGAUUAAUAACAUAUCAAUCACUAAUGAGCAUGCUCUAUAAUUGAAAUAAAAGAAAAAAAAAAUAGAAAAGUUCUAAACUAAGGAGGAAGCGCUACGUCAUCUUACACAUUGGGGAUUAAUAUAGUUGUAUAGAUAUAGAUAUAGAUAAAACUAUU
rnacentral:lncRNA from 1 species